UACUAUUUUGUCCUCUAAGAACAUG
rnacentral:piRNA from 1 species